GACUUCAAGUGAAACUCCACAAGCUCUCAGACUAUUACAGGAGACGCCCUUUGUCUACUCCUUAAGGGCAUAACACUUUUAAGAAGCAGGUCUACGCAUCCCAGGGCAGCUUUGUGAUGGUACACAUAGACUAAUGAGGUUUUGAGAGGAAAAGACUAGAAAACCCACAGAAAAGGAGUUUGCAAGCAACACGUAAAUGUCACAUGAUAACUUGCAUUUCGGAGCCUCGGGUAAGCAGGUUUUAU